rnacentral:rRNA from 1 species
UCCGGUGGCUCGUCGUCGCGGAACCACCUGUUCCCAUUUCGAACACAGAAGUGAAACGCGAUUGAGCCGAUGAUACUCGCAAGGGAAAGUAGGCAGUCGCCGGAA